GCUUGAUCUUCUUUGUUGUGCUUCUUUGACCCUUGUUUUGUAUUUUCUUUGACUCCUUUUGAAUCUUGUGUUGGAGUUUUUUGCCUUGUUUUCAAUGAAUGUAUUUUUCAUUCAUUUUUUAUGAUUUCCACCUUUGUUGGAGUUCUCCCUUUUUGUAUGUUUUUUUAUCCUUCUUCUUUGGAGUUAUCUUUUCAUUUUUAUUUGUCUUUUCAUUUUUUUUCUUCUAGG
rnacentral:lncRNA from 1 species